CCUACGGGAGGCAGCAGUGGGGAAUCUUCCGCAAUGGGCGAAAGCCUGACGGAGCAACGCCGCGUGAUCGAAUGAAGGCCUUCGGGUUGUAAAGAUCUGUUGACAGGGACGAAUAAGCAAUGCGAAUAGUUUUGUGUAUGACGGUACCUGUUUAGAAAGCUCCGGCUAACUACGUGCCAGCAGCCGCGGUAAUACGUAGGGAGCAAGCGUUGUCCGGAAUUACUGGGCGUAAAGGGCGAGUAGGUGGGCGCUUAAGUCAGGUGUGAAAACUCCGGGCCAAACCUGGAGACUGCACUUGAAACGGGGUGAAGGGAGGGGUGGGGAGGAAAGGGGAAGUAGUGGGGUAGGGGUGAACGGUGUAGAGAUUAGGAGGAAA
rnacentral:rRNA from 1 species